rnacentral:rRNA from 1 species
GAUGAACGCUGGCGGCGUGCCUAAUACAUGCAAGUCGAGCGAACAGAUAAGGAGCUUGCUCCUUUGACGUUAGCGGCGGACGGGUGAGUAACACGUGGGUAACCUACCUAUAAGACUGGGAUAACUUCGGGAAACCGGAGCUAAUACCGGAUAAUAUUUCGAACCGCAUGGUUCGAUAGUGAAAGAUGGUUUUGCUAUCACUUAUAGAUGGACCCGCGCCGUUUUAGCUAGUUGGUAAGGUAACGGCUUACCAAGGCGACGAUACGUAGCCGACCUGAGAGGGUGAUCGGCCACACUGGAACUGAGACACGGUCCAGACUCCUACGGGAGGCAGCAGUAGGGAAUCUUCCGCAAUGGGCGAAAGCCUGACGGAGCAACGCCGCGUGAGUGAUGAAGGUCUUCGGAUCGUAAAACUCUGUUAUUAGGGAAGAACAUACGUGUAAGUAACUGUGCACGUCUUGACGGUACCUAAUCAGAAAGCCACGGCUGACUACGUGCCAGCAGCCGCAGUAA